rnacentral:rRNA from 1 species
ACCUACGGGAGGCAGCAGUGGGGAAUAUUGGACAAUGGGCGCAAGCCUGAUCCAGCCAUGCCGCGUGAGUGAUGAAGGUCUUAGGAUUGUAAAGCUCUUUCACCGAUGAAGAUAAUGACGGUAGUCGGAGAAGAAGCCCCGGCUAACUUCGUGCCAGCAGCCGCGGUAAUACGAAGGGGGCUAGCGUUGUUCGGAAUUACUGGGCGUAAAGCGCACGUAGGCGGAUAUUUAAGUCAGGGGUGAAAUCCCGCAGCUCAACUGCGGAACUGCCUUUGAUACUGGGUAUCUUGAGUAUGGAAGAGGUGAGUGGAAUUCCGAGUGUAGAGGUGAAAUUCGUAGAUAUUCGGAGGAACACCAGUGGCGAAGGCGGCUUACUGGUCCAUUACUGACGCUGAGGUGCGAAAGCGUGGGGAGCAAACAGGAUUAGAUACCCCAGUAGUCAU